CCAACUGGGCAGAGGGAUCCUCCUCACAUCAUCAUCGGUGCUGGGUCUCUUUAGGCUGAGCUUCUCUUUGUUUAGCUUAUUCCUUCUGCUUGCUCAUGAAGAGUUGAAGUACUUGGUGGAACUGGAAGCUCACAGGAGAAUACACUGCUUUAAGUCAGAAGAGUGUAUUGCCAGCACUGUAUCAAACAUAAGGAGCAUUCUACAUUCAAAUUCCAUAGACAAUAUCAAUGUUUGCAGAUAGUUUCAAGUAUUUAGACUGCAUUCAUCUGUUAUCAUGAAUGAAUUUCUUUUGUUAUAGAAUGUUCUCAUUUUCUUUUCAAUGAAAGGACAACAUGAAUAUGGUAACUUCAUGAUCUCUUUAAAGAGGUGUUUCUUUACCCAAAGACUGUUAGAUGUAACUUAGAGAAAUAAAAAAAAAGAAGU